AAUGGACAGUGACGAUUGAUAUUAAGGUCUCGUUCGUCGUAAAAACGGCCGUAAAAAGCCUAUUUGCCGACCAUUCUGUUAUAUCACCACCCAUAUUCUGAGUCCUAUU
rnacentral:snoRNA from 1 species